rnacentral:snoRNA from 1 species
AACCCAUGGUGAGGACACCUUCUCAAGAGGUCCUUGUAUUUCUCCCAUGCAUCGUAAAGAGUUUCUAAGUCCAUCUGCACAAACGAAGAGAUAUCAUUACUUAAUUU